UACGUAGGGUGCGAGCGUUGUCCGGAAUUAUUGGGCGUAAAGGGCUCGUAGGCGGUUUGUCGCGUCGGGAGUGAAAUCCACUGGCUUAACUGGUGGCUUGCUUUCGAUACGGGCAGACUGGAGGUAUGCAGGGGAGAACGGAAUUCCUGGUGUAGCGGUGAAAUGCGCAGAUAUCAGGAGGAACACCGGUGGCGAAGGCGGUCUCUGGGCGUAUGUCCUGACGGCUGAGGAAGCGAAGGGUGUCAGGGAGGCGUAAACAACGGAUUGAGAA
rnacentral:rRNA from 1 species